CCUACGGGUGGCAGCAGUGGGGAAUAUUGGACAAUGGGCGAAAGCCUGAUCCAGCCAUGCCGCGUGUGUGAAGAAGGCCUUCGGGUUGUAAAGCACUUUCAGUGGGGAAGAAAGCCUUGGGGCUAAUACCCUCGAGGAAGGACAUCACCCACAGAAGAAGCACCGGCUAACUCCGUGCCAGCAGCCGCGGUAAUACGGAGGGUGCGAGCGUUAAUCGGAAUUACUGGGCGUAAAGCGCGCGUAGGCGGUCUGAUAAGCCGGUUGUGAAAGCCCCGGGCUCAACCUGGGAACGGCAUCCGGAACUGUCAGGCUAGAGGGCAGGAGAGGAAGGUAGAAGUCCCGGUGUAGCGGUGAAAUGCGUAGAGAUCGGGAGGAAUACCAGUGGCGAAGGCGGCCUUCUGGACUGACACUGACGCUGAGGUGCGAAAGCGUGGGUAGCAAACAGGAUUAGAUACCCGAGUAGUC
rnacentral:rRNA from 1 species